GUAUGUUUUUCAGAGAAAAUGAUAGUCAAGGUAUAGCUGCUAAUUGUGAGAAGUAAGAAAUUGGACGAAAUAUCAUCUAGAAAAAAGAAACUCGAGUCAUCAAAAUGGUGGAUCUAAAUAAGAACGAAGCAAAAAUGAAGGAAGCCUGGAAGGAUGUUACCAAUGACAACAGUUCUAUCAACUGGGCUUUAUUUGGUUACGAGGGGCAGACUAAUAUCUUGACCCUGGUUGGUAAGGGUGAAGAUGGAAUAGAUGAGAUGAUAGAAGAUUUGAACCCAAGUAAAAUUAUGUAUGGAUUUCUGAGGGUAGAAGAUCCUAAAACAAGUCUUCCAAAGUAUGUGAUACUUAAUUGGCAGGGUGAGACUGCUCCUGGAGGAAGGAAAGGAGUAUGUGCCAUGCAUCUUCGUGAUAUAGAACGUUUUCUUUUUGGACAUCAUUUAACUCUAAACGUAAGGAACGAGGACGAAAUUGACAUGGAGACCAUUACAAAAAAAGUUUCGGAAAUUACAGGCUCCUCUUACAACUUCAAAGAGAAACCUCAAGGUAUGGAAUAUAGUCCUGCUCCAGUAGGUACGUGUCACAAGAAGAUAAAUCCUGAGCGUGAACUACCGAACAUGGAGACAAGAGAAAAAUUUUGGAGCAAAGAUCAGGACGAAGAAAAAAAUAGAGUUCUUGAAGAACGGGACCGCAGGGCGCAAGAAACUAAGAAUGCUGAGGAGGAGCGGAAGAAAAGAGAACAAGUGGAAAGUGAAGCUCGAGAUAAUCAUAUCAAAGACAAAGAACGGAAGGUUUGGGAGCAGAGAGAACAGGAAAAAUAUUCUGAAGAGGAAAGGGUUAAAAUUGACAUGUCUAGAUGGGAAAAACAGCAGGUUGAUGAUGCUGCGGAGUCUAAAGAACGUAACCUGAGGUCGGAGAGGAUGAGACAAGACCGAGCUAAGGAGGCUCAGGAGUUAAUAAGACAAAGGACAUCUGACGUGAAGAAGGUGUUUCUCAGAAACUCGUCUCAGGGACAAAUGAAUGUUGUCGCGAAAUCGAAUCCUCCUGUGGUAUCAGCUCCUUCUACUGGUGUUGUUAGAUCAGCGUUACAGCCUCCACCUUUCAAGUUAGAUCAUCAACCUGUUCCUGCUCAGCCAAAUCAUCAACCUGCUUCAAUUCAGCCAGAUCAUCGACCUGCUCCAAUUCAGCCAGAUCAUCAACCUGCUCCUAUUCAGGCAGAUCAUCAACCUGCUUCAGUUCAACCACUAAAUAUAGAUCCCCAUUCUUUAGAACUAGAGCCUAACAAACUUAGAAAUGAGUCCCUGCCAAAUAGGGUCGAGGAUAAGGAUGAGAACGAUCACCAAUUGGCGCCACCAAUAGGAUUUGAGGAGGAAUGUGAUAAAUCAACAGAUUAUAAACUUGGUUCAAAUGAACUACAUCAUGCCAUGCCUGUUAACAUGGAGAAGGAUAAGGACGUGUCUCUAGAGAGCUACGGCGUCUGUGCAGUUUCUCUUUAUGAUUACCAGGCAAGUGACGAGACUGAGAUAUCCUUUGAUCCUGGACAGAUAAUUACGCAUAUUGACCAGAUUGACCCAGGAUGGUGGCAGGGUCUGGGGCCUGACGGUAGUUAUGGUUUAUUUCCUGCCAACUACGUGGAGAUUAUUGAUAGUUCUGAGCUUCAGAUACAAGCUUAGUGUUUUCCUAAUUUGGGCUGUGCAACUUACACUUACAGUACACAGCAUUAAUCUUUUAGCUUGCUCGGUGAAUCCUUUAUCUUUAUAAUUUUACAUGCAUUUUCCAUAUUCACUACUGCCUGGGUAUCUCGACGAUCCUGAGUAGUCAAAAUUCUUUAAACAUUCUUUGAAUACAUAUAAAUGUAAAAUAUUUAUAUUGUGAAACAUUUUCUCAUUUUAAA